GACGAACGCUGGCGGCGUGCUUAACACAUGCAAGUCGAACGGUAAGGCCCUUCGGGGUACACGAGUGGCGAACGGGCGAGUAACACGUGGGUGAUCUGCCCUGCACUUCGGGAUAAGCCUGGGAAACUGGGUCUAAUACCGGAUAGGACCACUGCCUGCAUGGGUGGUGGUGGGAAGCUUUUGCGGUGUGGGAUGGGCCCGCGGCCUAUCAGCUUGUUGGUGGGGUGAUGGCCUACCAAGGCGACGACGGGUAGCCGGCCUGAGAGGGUGACCGGCCACACUGGGACUGAGAUACGGCCCAGACUCCUACGGGAGGCAGCAGUGGGGAAUAUUGCACAAUGGGCGCAAGCCUGAUGCAGCGACGCCGCGUGAGGGAUGACGGCCUUCGGGUUGUAAACCUCUUUCAGCACCGACGAAGCGCAAGUGACGGUAGGUGCAGAAGAAGGACCGGCCAACUACGUGCCAGCCGCCGCGGUAA
rnacentral:rRNA from 1 species